rnacentral:rRNA from 1 species
GACGAACCGAGCGAACGUUGUUCGGAAUCACUGGGCUUAAAGGGCGCGUAGGCGGGCUGCCGCGUCCGGGGUGAAAUCCCCAGGCUCAACCUGGGAACUGCGUCUGAUACUGGAUGGCUUGAAUUCGGGAGAGGGAUGCAGAAUUCCAGGUGUAGCGGUGAAAUGCGUAGAUAUCAAGAGGAACACCGGAGGUGAAGACGGGUUGCUGGGCCAACACUGACGCUGAGGCGCGAAAGCCAGGGGAGCAAACGGG